GGGGGUGACUUUGGCUUCGACGUGGAUUACAAAACCUGGGGAGCAUGCAGUGGGUGUGAUGACCACUAUAACAAUAGUCACAAACAAUAGUCGCAAACGACGACUCUUUCGCUCUCGCAGCUUAAUAACCUGACGAGUGCUGUCUGACCGAUGCCCUGCUUGUGGGGCGCGGGUUUCAGGCAUCAUCAGUACACAAGAUCGUACCAAUGCCUGUCCGGUGCUGCGGUACCAAAACCUUACGGACCAGCCUGCAAGCCAGCCUGUCAGUCGGCGGGAUGCGGGUUAAACAAAAGACUCGACUAAGCAUGUAGCGCCUUCAGGCAGAGGAUUUGCGGACGGGGGUUCGACUCCCCCCACCUCCACCA
rnacentral:tmRNA from 1 species